rnacentral:rRNA from 1 species
UUCCAGACUCCUACGGGAGGCAGCAGUGGGGGAUAUUGCACAAUGGGGGGAACCCUGAUGCAGCGACGCCGCGUGGGUGAAGGAGCGUUUCGGCGCGUAAAGCCCUAUCGGCAGGGAAGAAGGAGGACGGUACCUGACCAAGAAGCCCCGGCUAACUACGUGCCAGCAGCCGCGGUAAUACGUAGGGGGCAAGCGUUAUCCGGAUUCACUGGGCGUAAAGGGAGCGCAGGCGGCACGGCAAGUCUGGUGUGAAAGCCCGGGGCCCAACCCCGGGACUGCAUUGGAAACUGCCGGGCUGGAGUGCCGGAGGGGUAAGCGGAAUUCCUAGUGUAGCGGUGAAAUGCGUAGAUAUUAGGAGGAACACCAGUGGCGAAGGCGGCUUACUGGACGGCAACUGACGCUGAGGCUCGAAAGCGUGGGGAGCAAACAGGAUUAGAUACCCUAGUA